rnacentral:lncRNA from 1 species
AGCUUCAUCAAGUUUAUGGUCAAGAUUAUGUUGUAUUCUGGGAAAGUUGCGCAAUUUGAAUAUACUUUUUUAGUUCAGCAACUACACUUAUACACAUCAGUUCAUCACUACCAACAAUCUAAGAUAUAAUGGUUGGAGACGAUUCUGACUGACUAUAGCAACAAGGUCGAUGAUUCCACCUCUUCCGUAGUUAUCGACACUAGCACGGUGGUUACUUGUUAUACUUGGCUUAGAACAAAAUACAGCAUCGACAUGUUUAUGGUCGAGAACAAAAUACAGCGCUGCAUGUUUACACUUCUCAGGUUUAUUAUUUUCCAUUCAUCCGCAACAACAACUUAAGAAAUUAUGGCUGGAGGCCAUUGUGACUAUGACAACAAGGUCGAUGGUUCCACUUCUUCGGAAGUUAGCAACACGAAGACAAUGAUUACUUACAUCAAACAGCUCAUUGAUGUUGCUGGCGUUGAUACUUAUGUCCUCUCUGAUGUUUUACGAGGUUAAAAUGAGGGCAUAUGCUUCAUUUUUUUUUUGUGGUAGUCGGGGAUAUACUUCAUUGCCUCUUGAAUGAAAUAUAUUAAGGAUAAUAUGUUUUUUUUUAAGUUAAAAUGAAAUAUAUUAAUCAAAACUUAGUUUCUCGAGUACUCUCAAGCACAAGGAGUUAGAGCUGUCAAAACGGACGGCCUGGCCUUAAACGGGCCGGCCCUAGCGGGCUUUGGGCUUUAACGGGCCGGGCCAAAAAGCUUG